rnacentral:rRNA from 1 species
GUGAGGAAUAUUGGUCAAUGGGCGGGAGCCUGAACCAGCCAAGUCGCGUGAAGGAAGAAGGAUCUAUGGUUCGUAAACUUCUUUUGCAGGGGAAUAAAGUGCAGGACGUGUCCUGUUUUGUAUGUACCCUGAGAAUAAGGAUCGGCUAACUCCGUGCCAGCAGCCGCGGUAAUACGGAGGAUCCGAUCGUUAUCCGGAUUUAUUGGGUUUAAAGGGUGCGUAGGUGGUUUGAUAAGUCAGCGGUGAAAGUUUGCAGAUUAACUGUAAAAAUGCCGUUGAAACUGUCGGACUUGAGUGUAAAUGAGGUAGGCGGAAUGCGUGGUGUAGCGGUGAAAUGCAUAGAUAUCACGCAGAACUCCGAUUGCGAAGGCAGCUUACUAAGCUACAACUGACACUGAAGCACGAAAGCGUGGGGAUCAAACAGGAUUAGAUACCCUAGUAGUCC